UACGUAGGGGCCUAGCGUUGUCCGAAUUUAUUGGGCGUAAAGAGCUCGUAGGCGGUUUGGUAAGUCGGGUGUGAAAUCUCCACGCUCAACGUGGAGGGGCCACCCGAUACUGCCAUGACUGGAGUCCGGUAGGGGAGUGUGGAAUUCCUGGUGUAGCGGUGAAAUGCGCAGAUAUCAGGAGGAACACCAAUUGCGAAGGCAGCUCGCUGGGACGGUACUGACGCUGAGGCGCGAAAGCGUGGGAGCAAACAGG
rnacentral:rRNA from 1 species